rnacentral:rRNA from 1 species
GACGAACGCUGGCGGCGUGCUUAACACAUGCAAGUCGAACGGAAAGGCCCUGCUUUUGUGGGGUGCUCGAGUGGCGAAGGGGUGAGUAACACGUGAGUAACCUGCCUUUGACUGUGGGAUAACUUCAGGAGACUGGGGCUAAUACCGGAUAGGAGCUCCUGCUGCAUGGUGGGUGUUGGAAAGUUUCGGCGGUUGGGGAUGGACUCGCGGCUUAUCAGCUUGUUGGUGGGGUAGUGGCUUACCAAGGCUUUGACGGGUAGCCGGCCUGAGAGGGUGACCGGCCACAUUGGGACUGAGAUAAGGCCCAGACUCCUACGGGAGGCAGCAGUGGGGAAUAUUGCACAAUGGGCGGAAGCAUGAUGCAGCAACGCCGCGUGCGGGAUGACGGCCUUCGGGUUGUAAACCGCUUUCGCCUGUGACGAAGCGUGAGUGACGGUAAUGGGUAAAGAAGCACCGGCUAACUACGUG